GGUAUUUACUCGCCUGCGGAUCUGAGCCGGUUAACCAGUAGGAGGAAGCGCUCGUCGAAUGGGAACAAUCAUUUAAAGUAGAACCUAGCGGACCGCUAAUCAGUGCGCCCACCUGCCGAAAUGUAGUGUAUUUCUAACCCUACAGGAUCUGAGAAGAAUACUGAGAAGAGCGGACCUGAGACCUGUUCCCAGAAUUAGAGCAUUUUAGGAAUCGAGCUCAACUGUGAAUAUAUGGCGAUGCAGAAUAGGGAGAUAGAGCCACAACAUUGUGAAACAAUACUUACUGAAACAUCCAGGGGAAGAAAUAAGAGGAUAGGAUUGGCCUGUUUUAAUCUGCCGAGUGCGAAGUAUAGAGAGUGAUUUCGCUCUAUAGUGUUUCCUUCAGGCAAAGGGUUAUUGUGUGGUUCAGAUGUCAUAAUGUAUGUGGAAGAGCAGUGCAGGCUACAGUGCUGUAUAAACAAGCCAAGAUUCAGGCAUAGUAGGAAACAUUCCUACCUACCCAGAGGGAACUCACAAUAUUCAAGAGAAAAGUGCUGAAGAACCCCAUUUGUAUUACCCUAAUUUAAGCAAACUUCAGUAUGAAAGUAUAACAGAACACGUUAAUUCUCUGAAUUAACAGAGCACAGCAGGCUGAGACAGACUUGAGGUCAGAGUUCUUAAUAUUUUUGGUGCCACAAACUGCCUUUGCAGUCUAGUGAAACCAUGGACUCAUCUUAGAAUAAUGUUUUUAAAUGUAUAAAAUAAAAUUCAUAGCAUCAUAAAAAAACAUUUUGAAAUAGAGUCUCAAAUAUUAAAGAAAAACAUUUUUGGCAUAGGAAUAUAUGUGUUUUAUUAACACAGUAAGAUCAAAUGAUGGUCUAGUAAAGACCAAAAUUUUGAAAUAAUGAUGAACAUAAAUAUUUUAAGAUUUUGCAACAUUUGUGAUAAAAGUAUUUGUGAUUCCUAUUGGUGACACAGACAUAGAUACAGCUAGUUGUUUGUUGCUUACAUUCAACAUUACAUUCUAAUUUCAGUUAGAGAUUAGUAAAAACAAAGAUGUAAUUUGUGUUUUCAUAUCCAAGUUCACACACACCCUGAUUUCUAUUCAUGAACUAUGUGUUAAAAAACCUUAGGUAGAGUCAAGUAGGCUUAUUCCUUUUGGAAAGCCUUGAAGGUAUUGUGAAAUUUAAAACAGAAUUAAUUCCUAUCCAUAGCAAUAGUGAUUCGUCAAGAAAACAUUUAAUUACCACCAGUAUACUUUCUAUAAGAAGGCAUGUAAUAGGUUUAGGAAAUUGUUUUAUCCAAUAUGUUGAUUUUUUUUUUUUUUUGAGACCUAUAAAGCUACCCUAUGAAAAAUUUACCUAACUAGAACAAUUCAUUUCCCAAGUAUUCUGGGUAACUUAGGUUUUACUAUAUCACUUUUAUUUAUUACACACUGUUACAAAUAAGAUGUGGUAGAAGAAUUGAAAAAUGAGAGUAACAACCAAGGGUGAAAUUAAAAUGUUGCAUAUUUGAAAUUGUUAAAAAUAAGUGUUAAUAAUUAUUAUUUGAAGUACUAUAUGCUGGGUCUUUUAAUUCAUUAUCUCAUCAAAUCCCCAUUAUAUAGAUGAAAUACUCAAGGUCAUAAUUAUUAAGUAGGAAAGCCAGAAUUUAAACCUAGGCAUCCUGACCUCAAAACUCACACUCAACCAUUAAGCUGUUUUUUAGCCCUUUGACUAUUAGCCAACGUUGAUUUGCCCACUAGUACAAUAAAUAUAUAUUCUCUGCCUCAAAUAUUUAUGCAUUCCUUACCAUUCCAAGUAAAAUUCCAACCAGUGACUAAAAGGAAUUUUCUAAAUUCUCUCUUUGCAGCAAUAUUGCUUAUAUUCAACCCCACUUUUAAAUAAGUGGACUGCCAGUUGGUGCUGGAAAAUAUUUUGUUCUACAAAAAAUUUCGUCGUAAUGGAGUUUUGCUUAGAAGAUGAAUAAUCCACUCAUGCCCUUCUCUGUCCUACAAACAUGCAUCUGAAAUUAAACCUUUGUUUUAUAAUGGUGCCACUACUUUAUCAAGAUAGUAUACAAGCAACGAUGACAUGUAAAUGAAUCCUAGUAUGUGAAGUUCUAGAUUAUCCAUGUUUAGUGGAGACAAAUGCUGGUAUAACCCUAAAUUCAUUUCUAUUUGGCACUGAAGUGAAUUUUUUGGUCGAUUAUGCUUUCUGUUUAUUUGUAUUUACACUAGCAAACUUAACAUUUUUGCUCAAUUUUGCUAAGGUUAAAAUUAAAAAGAAUAUGGCCUGGAAGCAUUUUGAAAUUUAAGGAGGUAGCCCAAGAUUAGCUCAGACUUUAAAAUAGUAUUCACAUAUCUAAUGUUAUACAGAAUCCAAUUUAUAAUUACAAGUAAAGGUAAAGUUGACUUUCUUCACUUGACGUAUUUAAUUUACCAUCUGAAAAAAAAGAAAAAUAGUGUUUUUAUAUUGCAUUUUCAAUAUGCUAAAAAGAUUAUGAUUUUAUGUAUUGAAAGAAACAUUAAAAAAUGCAGGUACAAAAUAUUGAAAAGAUAAGCUAAAAGCAAUUUCAUCCUUAAUACUAUAUUUAAAUCUCAAAAACUUUCUAAUUAUGGUAGAUCAGAUUUUCUUGCAUGAAUUUGCAUGAAACAAAAGAAAAUAUAAAAGAUGAAGAAAAUUAGUAUGAAAGUGGCAGUGGUAUAACUAAUCCAAAUAAUGAAGGUGUGCCAAAGUCUUAAUAUGUGAAUGCAUCAUAUGUAUGUGAAGCCACAUAUAAUAGCUUGAGUAUAGGAGUUAAUUAAAAUAUGCUUGUGAAUAAAUAUAGUUAACAUAGAUUAGUACAUAUCUUUGAUAGUAUUUAAUAUUGCAUGUGUUUUCAGACCUUUGUAACUUUCUCAUAGAAUUUUAUAACUUGCUAAAGACAUUAGCUUUAACACAGUGAAUAUCAUUUUAUUAGUUUAAUUAAAUUGUAAAUGCCAUAGUUUAGAUUUUAUAUCCAAAAUGCAUGUUUAUGUAUUCUGCUUGGAGUAGGUAAUUUAGAACAUAAGUCAACCAAAUGUUAUUUGAUAUUGUUUGCAUAAAAAUCAAAUGAGUUUCUGUAUAUUACCAGUUCAGAAGCUCAUUUUUAUGAUCAAGACAAGGUAAUGUGUUUAGGAAACUACUCUUUCAUGAUAAGAAUAUCAUUUUGACCUUAAAUUAAGAUGUUUUUUAGUACAUAAUGACUCAUGCACAAAUGUUUGAGCUAAAAAUAAAUUUGAAUAUUUUCCACGUAAAAACCUGUACACAUGAAUGUUCAGAGUAGCAUUAUUCAUAAUAGCCAAAAGUGGAAACAACCCAAAUGUCCAUCAGCUGAGUGGAUAAAUAAAAUAUGCUAUAUCUAUAUGAUGGAAUAGUAUUAGUUAAUAAGAAUGAGCACAAUACUUCUAUAUGCUACAACAUGUAUCUUGAAGCUUGAAAAUAUUAUUCUAAGUAAAAAAAGCCCGACCAAAAGGCCACAUAUUAUAUGAUUACAUUUAUAUGAAAUGACUGCAAUAGACAAAUCCAUAGAGACAGGAAGUAGAUUACUGACUGCUCAAGGACUAGGGGUUGAGUAAAUGGGAAAUGAAUUCUGAGUUAUAGGGUCUUUUUGAUGGAGAUGAUGCAGUGUUCUAAAACUAGAUAAUUGUAAUAUUUAUACAACUCUGUGAAUAUGUUAAACCCCACUGAAUUGUACACUUUAAAAGAGUGAAUAUUACGGUAUGUGAAUUAUCUCAAUGUACAUUAAAAAAAUUAAUGAGAAUCAAUGUGAAAUUAGUCUGGAAACACUGCUAAAUAUUUUCAACAUCUCGUAAUACUCUUCAGGUUACCAGUAAUAAAUGAGAUGUAGCAUCUUUGUAAAAUGUGAAAAAUUUACAGCCAGGAAGAGGCUUUUCCUUCAGUUCAAACAAAGCAGUUUAAUUUAGUUUUACUAUAAUAAUAAGCAUUUGUUGUCUAUUAGUCUUAAAUUUGGAGUUAUUUUCAUCAGUAUUAUUUGUUUAAUAAAGCAGUGAUUAAAAAUUUAAACAACA